rnacentral:sRNA from 1 species
UCCUGCAGACGACCGCGAACACGUUAACAAAAACACGCGGGCUGCYGGGGGGAUCGGGUACACACCCGUCCCCAYGGCCUCCCGCACCAAACCUAACUCUCGGCGCGGAAAGCGCCAAGGACUACUCAAACGGACUGCCCCCUUCCCCCGCGGAUUCCGCGGUGGGCUGGGCCGGCAUCUGAAACGUAACCAAUACGACUCUCGACAACGGAUAUCUAGGCUCUCGCAUCGAUGAAGAACGUAGCAAAAUGCGAUACUUGGUGUGAAUUGCAGAAUCCCGUGAAUCAUCGAGUUUUUGAACGCAAGUUGCGCCCGAGGCCACCCGGCCGAGGGCACGUCUGCCUGGGCGUCACGCAUCUUGUCGCCACACCAACCCCACUGCGGGUGCGGUGCGGCRGAUGUUSRYCUCCCGUUCCCUCAGCGGCGCGGCUGGCCCAAAUGCGAGUCCCCCGGAUAAGGGACGUCACGGCUACAGGUGGUUGAAAUCCAUUUCAUUCUCGCUCUCAGUCUUGACGGCCCCCCGGCGGAGCAAAACGACCCCCSRGGCCUUCCGCGYGCGAGCGCGCGAGGCCCYCGAACGCGCCCCAGGUCAGGCGGGAUCACCCGCUGAGUUUAAGCAUAUCAAUAAGCGGAGGAAAAGAAACUAACAAGGAYUCCCCUAGUAACGGCGAGCGAAACGGGAACAGUCCAAGCUUAAAAUCGGCCGCCCCCGGCGGUCGAAUUGUAGCCUGUAGAAGCGUCCUCAGCGGC